rnacentral:tRNA from 1 species
GGGCAGAUACCGAAGCGGUUAACGGCACCGCCUGCAGAGCGGUUGUUCGGGGGAAGACUCUCGAAUUCGAAUCCCUCUCUGCCCU